rnacentral:rRNA from 1 species
AUGGUGGGGCAUGUCCGGCUGCACACUGGAGGCCGUCCUCGAGUACAUCGAGGGCGGCAACACGCCGAGGCUGGAGCACCCCGCUCCCCCGUCCAUCUCUCGCCGGCGUGGGAGCUCAUGGACGCCGAGGCGCAUGGACCUGGGGGCGUCCUCCUCCUCGUCCGGCCGCUCGUCCGACUCUCCCUGCCUCCGCCCCAUCAAGCCGGAGCCUCAGAACACGCUUGUCAGCGCGCGCACCCGCAGCUCCGGCGUCCGCAUCGACGACUCUGCCCCCGCCUCUGGCCGCCUCGUCCUCGUCAGGCCGAAGCCGGAGCCCGGCCUUCCCGCGGAGUACAAGGAGAUAGCUCGGCACGUCAUCUCCGACGAGGACGCCCUACGGUGGGCGCGGGACGACUACCUCCGCGACGAGAUGGUCCGGUAGCGCCGGGCCCUGGAGGAGAUAGCCGCCCGCAAACGUGGGCGCGAGGACGAGCGUGGCGUCGUGAUCCUCGACAGCGACGACGAUGA